UUCAAACCCGGUGUAAGCCAGGUUGGUUUCUAUCCUUUAAUAAAAUAAAAUAUUUUAGUACGAAAGGAUCAAAUAUUUAAAAUAAUUUUAUUUAAUUGAAUAUUAAUAAUAUAAUUUUAA
rnacentral:rRNA from 1 species